rnacentral:rRNA from 1 species
GAUGAACGCUGGCGGCGUGCCUAAUACAUGCAAGUCGAGCGAACGGACGAGAAGCUUGCUUUUCUGAUGUUAGCGGCGGACGGGUGAGUAACACGUGGAUAACCUACCUAUAAGACUGGGAUAACUUCGGGAAACCGGAGCUAAUACCGGAUAAUAUUUUGAACCGCAUGGUUCAAAAGUGAAAGACGGUCUUGCUGUCACUUAUAGAUGGAUCCGCGCUGCAUUAGCUAGUUGGUAAGGUAACGGCUUACCAAGGCAACGAUGCAUAGCCGACCUGAGAGGGUGAUCGGCCACUCUGGAACUGAGACACGGUCCAGACUCCUACGGGAGGCAGCAGUAGGGAAUCUUCCGCAAUGGGCGAAAGCCUGACGGAGCAACGCCGCGUGAGUGAUGAAGGUCUUCGGAUCGUAAAACUCUGUUAUUAGGGAAGAACAUAUGUGUAAGUAACUGUGCACAUCUUGACGGUACCUAAUCAGAAAGCCACGGCUAACUACGUG